UGCAAAAAUAUCAUGUUCCAUUCAACAGAGCAAACAAAGAAAUUACUAGUUACACACAUUAAAGAAUGAAUGUAUUCACCAAAAAAGAACAUAUAAAAGUUACUGUACGUGACUUCACUAGUAGGUAAAAAUAAACCAUAGUUUCUCCAAAAGUAUCACACUCCAAAAUCCAAAAUCACACACCAUUCUAAAAAGCUAAAGAGAUCAUCACCCAGAAACAUGAUCUCAGCAAUACUUUGCCAAACUAACAAUCAUUAAGAAGUAGUAGUAGUCGUUGGUGAAAGUUUUCUUGCUGGUGGGAAGAGGGCAACAGCACCUGGACUAGAAAAUCUAAAUAGAUCAUCACACCACAAAACAUGAUCUCAACAAAACUUUGCCAAACUAACAAUCAUUAUGAAGUAGUAGUAGUAGUUGGUGAAAGUUUUCUUGCUGG
rnacentral:lncRNA from 1 species